UACGUAGGGGGCAAGCGUUGUCCGGAAUCAUUGGGCGUAAAGAGCGUGUAGGCGGCCAGAUAAGUCCGCUGUGAAAUCUCGAGGCUCAACUUCGAGCUGUCGGUGGAAACUGUCUGGCUAGAGUCCGGAAGAGGAGAAUGGAAUUCCUGGUGUAGCGGUGAAAUGCGCAGAUAUCAGGAAGAACACCCGUGGCGAAGGCGGUUCUCUGGGACGGUACUGACGCUGAUGAGCGAAAGCUAGGGGAGCAAACGGG
rnacentral:rRNA from 1 species